rnacentral:rRNA from 1 species
AACGAACGCUGGCGGCAUGCCUAACACAUGCAAGUCGAACGAGAUCUUCGGGUCUAGUGGCGCACGGGUGCGUAACGCGUGGGAAUCUGCCCUUUGGUUCGGAAUAACAGUUGGAAACGACUGCUAAUACCGGAUGAUGACGAAAGUUCAAAGAUUUAUCGCCAGAGGAUGAGCCCGCGUAGGAUUAGCUAGUUGGUGUGGUAAAGGCGCACCAAGGCGACGAUCCUUAGCUGGUCUGAGAGGAUGAUCAGCCACACUGGGACUGAGACACGGCCCAGACUCCUACGGGAGGCAGCAGUGGGGAAUAUUGGACAAUGGGCGAAAGCCUGAUCCAGCAAUGCCGCGUGAGUGAUGAAGGCCUUAGGGUUGUAAAGCUCUUUUGCCCGGGAUGAUAAUGACAGUACCGGGAGAAUAAGCUCCGGCUAACUCCGUGCCAGCCGCCGCGGUAA